UACGUAGGGUGCGAGCGUUAAUCGGAAUUACUGGGCGUAAAGCGUGCGCAGGCGGUAGCUCAAGCCAGGCGUGAGAUCCCCGGGCUUAACCUGGGAAUGGCGUUUGGGACUGGGCUGCUAGAGUGUGGCAGAGGGAGGUGGAAUUCCACGUGUAGCAGUGAAAUGCGUAGAGAUGUGGAGGAACACCGAUGGCGAAGGCAGCCUCCUGGGCCAGCACUGACGCUCAUGCACGAAAGCGUGGGGAGCAAACAGG
rnacentral:rRNA from 1 species